GGGGGUAUGAUAUUUAGGAUGUUUUGUACGUCUUGUGAACAUUGCAAAAGACAACUAACACCUCUGCGUCAAAGAAGAAAAUGAUUUGGUUUGCAAGUUGCAACACGAGCAGCAGACAAAUGAAAUACCCGGUUUACCAACGGCAACAAGCAGCUAGCUCACAUGAGGUCGUCACAAACUGAUAGAGCAAGGCGGAAGGUUCACAUAAGCGCAAGAGCAGACAGAAAAUCCACCUUCAGACUUGAAUCAGAGUCGUCACAUCACAUCAACCGGUCGAUCGCUACCAACCACCCGGAUCACGAGGAGCAGGAACCGGCCUGCGCAGCUCGCUCUCGCCGUGGGCGAAGCGGCACCCUUCGCCAUGAGUGCAGCAUCCCCUGGCGAAGUGCCCGCAGAGCUUGGUCUUGAAGCUGUCUAACUGCCAUCCGCCGCCGUGAGACGUCGUGUUUCCUCCCGCCGCAGGCGAAGGGGCACCGCCGCCGUCGUGGUUGACAACGUGGAUCAGUUGCUCCAUGGCCAUAUCGUAAGCGUUCUUGAUCUGGUCGAACGUGCCCUCCAGCUCCACGUUCUUCAAGUCGGCGUCCCAGUCGUGGUCGCGAACGCGCAGCCUGGCGCCGCUGGUCCGGGAUAUCUGCUUUAUGGUGGCUCCGCCACGCCCGAUGAUGGCGCCCGUGAGGGAGGCGUCCACGCUGAUCUUGGCCGUCGCCGAAGCGCCGAAGCUCGCCACUGCUUCCUUGCGGGGGUCGGGCUCCAUCUGUGCUCGAUGUGCAUGGUCACCGGUGGGAGUUGGUUCCAUGGGUGGUGGCGUCGCGUUGUCCGUGGACAAAUGCUUGGCAGGCUUCUCCUCGCCUUGUGCUGGUGGAGGAGCAGGAGCUGCGGCACUCAGGAUGCCCAGUUUCUCGACGGCCCGGUAGCCGCCCGGGAUGUCAUGGAUGAAGUGACAAUCAUCACCAAAGCGGCAACCUGCAAUACUGCACGAUGGGAAACAUCAUGAGGAUAAACAACCGAACCAGCAGAAUGCAAAGAAAACAGCAACUGUUGAAAUAUUCGAGUACCUGAAGAAUCUGAUGCAUGGCUUCGAUUUGCUUCCUACGCCUGCUUGAAAAGACUCCGGCUCUGUUUCACCAAAACAACCGACCAUGCGGUUCCAAGUUAGUACUGAAGCUCUGAAUGGAAAAUCUGGAGACGGAACGACGAAGCCAGUUUCGCCUGGAUCCAGAUCCAGCUCGACUGACCUCGCACUCGGUGAGGCAAUUCCGACUUCCCUUGGCGUCCAACCGAGCGGGCAGACCAAGUCUCGGCGCGAACCCAGAGUUUCACGUCAUCGGGGUGCUUGGACAGGUCGACGCCGGCGGGCAGCACCUUGCAGGCGUCGGAGCUGCCGACGGCGAGCAGGAGCUCCCUCGAGUACUUGAUCCUCUGCCCCUCCCUUGCAUCGAUCGGCCCCGGUCAGAUAUAUCAGAUCAGUCACGAAGGAA
rnacentral:lncRNA from 1 species